UCCAGAGGUCUCAAGCGUUGUUCGGAUUCAUUGGGCGUAAAGGGUGCGUAGGUGGCGCUGUAAGUCAGGUGUGAAAUUUCGGAGCUUAACUCCGAAACUGCAUUUGAUACUGCGGUGCUUGAGGACUGGAGAGGAGAUUGGAAUUCACGGUGUAGCAGUGAAAUGCGUAGAUAUCGUGAGGAAGACCAGUGGCGAAGGCGGAUCUCUGGACAGUUCCUGACACUGAGGCACGAAGGCCAGGGGAGCAAACGGG
rnacentral:rRNA from 1 species